rnacentral:rRNA from 1 species
GAUGAACGCUGGCGGCGUGCCUAAUACAUGCGAGUCGAACGAAACUUCUUUAUCACCGAGUGCUUGCACUCACCGAUAAAGAGUUGAGUGGCGAACGGGUGAGUAACACGUGGGCAGCCUGCCCAAAAGAGGGGGAUAACACUUGGAAACAGGUGCUAAUACCGCAUAACCAUAGUUACCGCAUGGUAACUAUGUAAAAGGUGGCUAUACUACCGCUUCUGGAUGGGCCCGCGGCGCAUUAGCUAGUUGGUAGGGUAAAGGCUUACCAAGGCAAUGAUGCGUAGCCGAAUUGAGAGGUUGAUCGGCCACAUUGGGACUGAGACACGGCCCAAACUCCUACGGGAGGCAGCAGUAGGGAAUCUUCCACAAUGGGCGAAAGCCUGAUGGAGCAACGCCGCGUGGGUGAAGAAGGUCUUCGGAUCGUAAAACCCUGUUGUUAGAGAAGAAAGUGCGUGAGAGUAACUGUUCACGUUUCGACGGUAUCUAACCAGAAAGCCACGGCUAACUACGUG